rnacentral:rRNA from 1 species
GGCCGGGAACUCAAAGGAAGACUGCCAGUUGAUAAACUGGAGGAAGGUGGGGAUGACGUCAAGUCAUCAUGGCCCUUACGACCAGGGCUACACACGUGCUACAAUGGCGCAUACAAAGAGAAGCGACCUCGCGAGAGCAAGCGGACCUCAUAAAGUGCGUCGUAGUCCGGAUUGGAGUCUGCAACUCGACUCCAUGAAGUCGGAAUCGCUAGUAAUCG